rnacentral:rRNA from 1 species
UACAGAGGGUGCGAGCGUUAAUCGGAAUUACUGGGCGUAAAGCGUGCGUAGACGGUUAUGUAAGUCGGGUGUGAAAGCCCCGGGCUCAACCUGGGAAUUGCAUUCGAGACUGCAUAGCUAGGAUGCGGAAGAGGGAAGCGGAAUUUCCGGUGUAGCGGUGAAAUGCGUAGAUAUCGGAAGGAACACCAGUGGCGAAAGCGGCUUCCUGGUCCAGCAUCGACGUUCAGGCACGAAAGCGUGGGGAGCAAACAGG